GUAAAUUAAAAACUCCUUGUGAUAUGGGUGGCUGUGGUACAACUUUAGUACAGACUUGAGAAAUUAAAAUGAGGAGGAGCAAAAUGUAUAUUUACAUCUAGACAGACGUGAUUGCUUGGGACUUCCUUUGACAUGAUAACUAGGAAGCGUUAAGGAGAUAUUUGGGUGGCAUUUCUUUACGCCAAACUUGUGACCUGGACCAAAAUAUGAAAACAUACUUAUUUUCUCUUAAGGCACAGGAAACUUUGAAAAAGUGACAUUAAAGUCUCCCUCCAUUUCACAAAAUUCAGUUUUGAGCAGAUGAAAAGUCUACCCUUUGGCAUCAAAAUAGAAUAUACAUCCGUAAAUAAAUUUUUUUUCUGGGAAAUAACUUUGUUUAGAAAUAUAUAGUUAGUGUGCAGAGAUCCUGACCUUGACUCGAGGUUGAUUCAAGUGAAACUGGCUGUUCAGUGUCUCUGCCUUCAAGACUGCCACCUGCCACCCAUUAUACAUCAUCACUCCUGGCCAGCCAAGGAAUGGCUUUCAUAUUAAAAUGUGAGAUAUUGCUGCUUUUGGUUUCUUCCUUGAUUCUGAAACAUGUGAACCUUGGGUGAAAAAGUGAAAUACCUUUGGUCCUCAAAGCAGCAGUGAUUUUUCUAAGCACAAAGACUACUUCUAAGAUUAUGCUACACUAUGUCCCCACCAUCACCUAGGUUUUUGUGAUCAUGUGCUGGGUAUGGACAUAGUUUGCUAUAUGUCCAUAACAAUGUGAGAUAUUAUUCUCAUUUCAGUGUUUGCUGGAUGGAGUUCAAAUAAAUUGGCAGUCACAAACUGAACUGUAGCAUCUAAAUUUGCCUAUGAUAAAUCAUGUUUUAACAGGGCAAUGCCCGGUAGAUGUAGUUUACAUACUUCUCUGAAGUCAGAAAUGACUGCAGUUAGCAAGGUGUAUGGUGGCCUAGGUUAAGACAUAUACGAAGGCUUGGGGGGCUCUAGAGAAUAAAUGACUUCCAAGGAAGGAAGAAAAGAAGGAACAGAAAAAGGACAGAGGAGGAAGCAAGGAGGGCAGAGGAAGAAGGAGGAAAGGAAAGGAAAAGAAGAAGAAGAAAUACAGCCUGAGAACUCCUGAUGGUUUCAACAGAACAAUUUACAAUUCAUCCCAUUCAUCCUAAGUGAGCUGGGGGGCAACCACCCACACCACCAUCCAAGGAAAACCCUGUUAGAAUGAGGUCAUAUUUUCCCUCAAAACAACAAGAUGGAAAGUGGCAGGUGAAUUGGAAUUGCACUACCACCUUGCAGUGUGUGGAUCUGAUUUCUUUCCACCACGUGCAUGUCAGGACUUAGGCCCCCAAGGCUGGCGCCAUGCUGGUGUCCACACUGAUGUGGUCUGAGCACCACAGCAGAUGGACAGCUGAGGCCUAGAAGCUGGGUGCUUCCUGCAAGGAGCUGCCAAUAAA
rnacentral:lncRNA from 1 species